rnacentral:misc_RNA from 1 species
UCAUCAUUAAACAUUUGGUCCUUCGAGCCGGAUCCGUUGAAAAGUUACCUAUUUUUAGUAAAAUAUCAAAUUUGUCGUGUCGUAAUAUUUUUCUAAUAAAUUGGUGGGUAAAACUUUUAAUUCUCGAUUCGGUUAAUGGCUGACCGGAAGUGUGACUUUUAUAGUAGAAUUUAGUUAGGUUGGUAGCAGUGUGACAGUUCGUUCAAUCCGCUCAUCUCGUUCGGUCUUAGUCUAUGCUUUGGUGUAUGGCAACAAUUCGGUUGUCAUCUCAUCUGUCAUUGUCAAAGUCAACAAGUUAAUUUUAUUGAGUAACGUAAACUGUUUAUUUAUAUUUUCGUUCUCGUUUUUCGAUAAAUCAACAGUGAUUAUUACGUGAAAAAUGUCGGACAUUGAUGUGAGCAAUAGAGACGUUGACAUGGAUAGGGUUGAACGCAAUUACGCGGUUAUGCGUUAAAGUCACAUUUUCCCAACAAUUAUCGUUAA